UACGUAGGGUGCGAGCGUUAAUCGGAAUUACUGGGCGUAAAGCGUGCGCAGGCGGUUUUGUAAGACAGAUGUGAAAUCCCCGGGCUUAACCUGGGAACUGCAUUUGUGACUGGCAAGCUAGAGUAUGGCAGAGGGGGGUAGAAUUCCACGUGUAGCAGUGAAAUGCGUAGAGAUGUGGAGGAAUACCGAUGGCGAAGGCAGCCCCCUGGGCCAAUACUGACGCUCAUGCACGAAAGCGUGGGGAGCAAACAGG
rnacentral:rRNA from 1 species